rnacentral:lncRNA from 1 species
AAAACAAAACUGUGGGCGCAUGUGCAUAGAACAGAUACUGGAAUAAAAUGCUCCCGAAUGUUAAUAUUCUAGUGAAGAGGAUAAAGAAUGAAUUUCCUUUUUCUUUUCUGCAUGUGUGUCUAUUCUCCAAAUCUGCUUCAAGAACUUGAAAGAUGGAGUGCCCAUCGUGGCUCAGUGGUUAACGAACCCGACUAGAAACCAUGAGGUUGCGGUUCGAUCCCUGGCCUUGCUCAGUGGGUUAAGGAUCCGGCAUUGCCGUGAGCUGUGGUGUCAGCUGAAGACGCCGCUCGGAUCCCGCGUUGCUGUGGCUCUGGUGUAGGCUGGUGGCCACGGCUCCGAUUAGACCCCUCGCCUGAGAAUCUCCAUAUGCCAUGGGAUCGGCCCUAGAAAAGGCAAAAAGACAAAAAAAGAAAAAAAAAGAAGUUGAAAGAUAAGAAAAACAUCGAAAGGGAAACCGGACGCCUGCUGUCCAACAGACCUGGACCUCGGGGAGGGCUGGUCUAGGAUGGCCACAAAUGGCCAGCAGGCUCCCUGGGGAAGUAGCCAUUUGGCUGAACACAAAAGGACCCGCGGCUGGCCUGCCAAGUGUGAGCAUCUUUGGGUGCAGCUUUCUUCUAUUGGAUCUUUCCAAGGACCUUGGUUUUCAGAGACACACCAACCAGCUGUCCUGCUCUCACUCACUUCUCAUUGGUGAGGCAGUUACAACUGGAAGCUGUGGGUUCGGGGGUGGACCUCACUGAGCCGGCAGGAGGACCUCUAUAGCACUAGGCGGUAGCCAGCCGGCCUGGAACAUUCAGGACGUGGUGACAUCCACUAUUCUGCCUUCCCAAAGAAGGGAGAAUGUUUCUAAGUCCAGAGAAUCCGCUGAAUGGAGACCAGGAAGGCACUCCCGACUGUUUUGUUCCCAUUUU